rnacentral:tRNA from 2 species
UAGCUCAGUUGGUAGAGCGCAACCUUGCCAAGGUUGAGGUCGAGAGUUCGAGACUCUU